CUGUGCAUCUCCACAAAUAUUUCCCGGUGAUUCUUCCCAGCGUCCUGACUUCCGAGCCAGUGAUGAGAGUGAGACGGUGGAGGUGCUUCACCGGGCAGCGGCGGAGAGGCAUUGGCAUGGGCCGCGGCGAGGGAAUACCAGAACAAAUUCGGCCCACCAGUCCGCGACCGGAACUGUGAGAUUCGUGGGCCGUGAAAGUGCUCGUGAUGGGCUAUUGGGCCUAGGUCGAUUGAUCUGUGGACGAAGACGAACGUGCUUCGGUUACUUCGCCGGCGGAGUGGUGGUUGGCGGCGGUGGGGGGCGGUGAGCCGGCGACGGUCGGCACCGCACGUCGAAGCGCCCGGCGUCCGCGGUCUGCCGCUCCCGGUGGAGCUCGGCGAGGUGGCGGAGGCGUUGCAGCCUAGGAGAGGAAGCGCUCGGUUGAGGCGGUGGACGGCGGAGUAGCGGCGGCCGUGGGGGCAGGUGCCGGCGCCACCGCCACCGCAGCCGGCUUAGGCGGAAGAGACGGCGGGCCUAACCUGCUACUGUCCCGUCCCCUUACGCGGUCACAAGCCAUUGACGCCAAGCUGGUUCCCCUUGGCCCUUGCCACUUCCACGCCGGCAGCAACAUCCCUGCUACUUGAGGCCAGAAAUGUACACCUCAGAUGUUAGUGUUAUGGCAUGGAGCAUAACUUGGAAAGUUAAGUGUUCAUAUAACUACAUUUUUUUAUAGGAACUCUCAUAUAAUAUCAUGAGCAUUGCCACUAUCUGAAAACGAGGCGACAGUGUGAAAUUUUGCUUACCAGGAGGCUCAGCAAGGCGGAGGUACAGGUUCUCACCAAGGCUGGCCUUCUUCUCUGAGUCGACAAGCUCCCCUGUCCAAACCAAGCAUCUUGACGGGUCAGCCAUGGUGCCGCCACUGCUCAAGUUGGCGUAAGCAUAUGCCUUGCAAGAGCAGUUGCUGCUGCACUCGGCCGCGCACUGGUCGAAGCUCCUGUUCCGGAUCUGCAAGAACUUGUCGGGGACCUUCAUGUCAGGCAAUGACACGAAGCGGUGACCGCCCUCUCCGCAUCUCAGCUCUUCCUUUCUCCGGCAUCCUGAUUGCGAGAUGCUGGGAUCUACAGGCUCGAACCCAUCGAGGCACCGGCACGCCGGGACGGCCCCCGUGAAGUCGCAGUAGCCAAACGGGCCGCACGAGCCAUAGACCUCGCAGCUGCCGGCGGCGGGGCGCUGGAAGAUCAACAUCCAUGACGACGAGCUGUUGUCCCAGCUCAGGAACAUCAUCGUGCCCGUGCUGUCAAGUGUGAGGCGUGUGUAGAUGGAGCUGUCGGAGACAGUGUAUGAGUAGUAGAGCUUGUUCCCUGAGUCGAUGAGUGUUUGAUACAUGAAUAAGCUGCUGUUACUCGGAUACUGGGCGCCGGACACCGUCACGCUGGUUCUGACGCCGUUACGGCAGUAUGGCUUGGUCCCGUUCCAGGUCAUGCCCUGGAGGUCCGAGCUGGGGUCGAGGCUGAAGGAGAAAUCUCCAGUGGAUGGGUCAUCAUGGCUCCUCCACGCAGUGAGGCGUCCGAUGAUCUCGGACUUGUAGCUCAUCAAGAACAUCAUGCCUGCGAGGAUGGUAUCAGUCGGGUGAUCGAAGCUUUGCCAUAUGUCGGUGCCGUUUGGCAACCGGAGAACGAAGUUCCCCGUGUCGAGCAGCACGGCGGAGGCUCCGGUGACGCUGAUCUUGGUUGUCCAAAGAAUGUGGCCUUGGGAGUCCGACAGCACCAUGCCUGAGCUGUUGGUGAUGGCAAGGGUCGCUGACGAAGGGGUGGUGAUUGGGUUGUCGCGGUUGGCAACCCACACAACGGUGCGCUGGGGGAUGUUGUGGAACCAGACUCCAACAUAGAGGCUAUUGCUGAAGUUGGCCGGGGGGAAGAAGCCGAGGGCAAAGAUGCCGCCCUUGGAGAUGAGCAUCUCGCUGGGAAAGAUUGGCUUUCCCAGUGUCAGCUGGUCAUCGGUUUUGCAUAGAGGAAUCGAGAGCAGCAGGAGGAACAUGAGAAAAUAGACCAUAUUGCCUGUUAGACUUUCUGCUUCGUUUGCUUGUCAUGGGUCAAGUUAUAUCUUUCAUUCAUAAUGCAGAUAUGGACUGGUGUAGUUGGAGUUCAAUUCCCUUGCUGUCACCUCAUCUGAAGAUCAGGAGAAAUGUGAGAUGGCUAAGUCCUGAUUCAGACUCAUGGACAGAGACAGUAAAGGACCCUGUCUGAAUUCUGAUGACCAGGUCACCUGGUCAUGAUACUCCAAGUCGUGUGACAAUGCUGCACGAAAACGAAAGAAUGCUGCUGCCAUGGACUUUGGAGUGAUAGGCUAGUGCAGGCAAAAGCGAAACCUCACGUGCGUUCCAUGGCUCCACGUGGUGUCACAGGCCCUUGAUGCUGCCACUCUCCAUUUGAAGAAGUACAAUAGGGGAAGAAAUGGUGAGCAUACCAGGAGAGUCGGCUAACCGGAGGUAUAGGUUGUCACCAAGGCUUGCCCUCGCCAUGUCAGCAAGAUCCCCAGUCCAGAGCAAGCACCUUGACUGAUCGGACAUGGUGUCGGCUUUGGUCAAGUUGCCAUAAGCAUAAUCGUAGGCCAUGCAUGAGCAGUUGUGGCUGCACUUGGCCAUGCACUCCUCGAAGCUUCUGUUCUGGACUUGCAAGAACUUGUCAGGGAGCUUCAUUCCAGACAUGGUCACGAAAUGGUUCCUACCUCCGCAUCCCAACUGUUGCUUUCUUCGACAUCCUCUCGAAGAGUUGAAAUCACUUGGCUCGAAUCCAUCAAGGCACUGGCAUCUGGGGAUGGCCAAUGUGAAGUCGCAGUAGCCGAAUGGGCCACAUGAGGCGUAGAGAUUGCAGUCACCAGCGGCCGCUGGCUGUUGAGAGAUGACUGUCCAGGACGAUGAGCUCCCGUUCCAACUCAGGAACCUCAUGUUGCCCAUGUAGUCAAGCUUGAUUCGUGUGUAUGGGGAGCCAUCAGAGGUUGUGUACAUAAUGUACAACUCAUCCCUAGUGUUCACAAGUGAUUUGUACAUCAAAGUGGCAAUGUUGCUCCCGUAUGCUUCACCGGACACUAACACUCUAUUAAGUGAAAGUGCAAUGAAACGGUAAUAUGGCUUGGUCCCGUGCCAGAUGAAGGCCUGAAGGUUUGAUCUGGGGUCGCUGUGGUAGGAGAAGUCCCCGGUGGAUGGGUCAUUCGGUCCCUUCCAAGCGACAAGUCGCAUGGCGACUUGUGCCUUGUAUCUCAGGAAAAACUUCUUGUUGGGGAGAAGGGUAUCAGUUGGGUGAUCAAAGCUUUGCCAUGCGGUUGUAUUGUCCGGCAGCCGAAGAACCAAGUUUCCUGAGUCUAGCAGCACUGCAUAAGCUCGGUCACCUCUGGUGUUGAUGUUGGCCAUCGUCGUUCAAAAGGUGUGGCCUUCUAAAUCUGACAAUACAAAGUUAGAACUAUUGCUGAUGGCGAGCAUCGCAGAUGAAGGGGCAGUGAUCGGCUUGUCACGGUUGGCAAUCCAAACGUAUGUGCGCUCUGGGAUGUUGUUGUACCAUAUGCCGAGGAAUAAGCUCUGGUUGGAAGUUGCUGGGGAGAAGAAGCCGAGUGCGAAAACCCCGUUCUGGGAGACGAGCACGUCGCCAGGGUAGAGUUUCUUUGCUUGUGUCAGCUGAUCAUCGCACUUGCAGAAUGAGAAGAUGAAAAGAGGGAAGCAAGCCAUACCAUUCAUUUGGUCUUGUUCUUAGCUUUGCCUAGUUGCCUGCAAAGCGUAGAGAAAUAGCACACACACAUAUGGGUGUUUAAUUAUCUGAUGCAUACAUGAUUCUCCUGAGUCUUGACUCUUGACUCUUGAGGAGCACGCGGUUGGACCAAAGGAAGCAGCGUAAUAACGAAUGGCCGAGACUAUUCUGUCCGUCGAGAUAAAGUUUUGCUACGAAUUCAAACUGAACUGUGGGGAGACUACGGUGAAGUGGCCUGACGAGAGCAUAGGCGUAGCUGGUAUUAGUACUCAGUGUUGUGAUGCUAACUUGUGCAGUUUGUGGCUGGCUGGCUGGCUCGGUGGCACCGGGACAACCUCGCAACUAGAAAUAUCGACGCUUGAACGCUUGUGCACAACAGAAAACUUACUACAACUAUUUCUGUAGACGACAACAUGAAGGUUGGAGGAUCAACGAUUUAUGCUCAAGAACAAUUGAUGGAGACUACUGAAGGAUCAAGGAAGUUGUUUGCGUUACGCAAGGAGACGACAGGGAUUACCCCAAGAGACUUUCCUUCUUUUUUUUUUUUGUAAACCAUUGAAAAUGAACCAUACACCCACAAAGCAAUCGAAUUCCUAGGUUCUUGCACAA